rnacentral:misc_RNA from 1 species
GUGUUGCUCUAAGAUAUGGCUACAGAGACUAAAUCUAGUGUAGUUAAGGUGAAAGCUAACAGUAAUAAUCAAGUUGGGUCAUCUUCAAAACCCAAAAUUGAUUCAUCUGUUAUAAAGAAAAAGGUUAUUCAGAUCUCAGCUAAGCCAUCUGCAGAUUCAAAGGGUAAAUCUGCCAUUAAUGUAACUAAAACUGAGGUGAAAGGAAAAACAACCUCAACGUCAUCCAAGACCGUCACAAAAACGCAAACCAAAACUAGAGUGAAGAAAGUGUAUUCCUUGGCUGGUCAGAAGUUUGAUGUUCCUGAAGAGCGAGAACCGUUGAGGUUAUUCUAUGAAUCAUUGUCAAAACAGAUACCUUCAAGUGAAAUGGCAGAGUUUUGGUUGAUGGAGCACGGUCUGUUAUCACCCGAGAGAUCAAAGAAGGCGUUU